GUGCUCACUUCAGCAGCACAUAUACUAAAACUGGCACAACACAGAGAAGAUUAGCAUGGCCCUGCACAAGGAUGAUGCAAAUUCGUGAGGUGUUCCAUAUUUUA